UUAGUACUCCCUCCGUCCGAAAAUACUUGUCAUUAAAAUGGACAAAAAGAGAUGUAUCUCGAACUAAAAGACGUCUAGAUGCAUCCCCUUUUAGCCAUUUUAAUGACAAGUAUUUCCGGACGGAGGGAGUAGUAC
rfam:Triticum aestivum genome assembly, contig: Triticum_aestivum_CS42_TGACv1_scaffold_222086_3B